rfam:Ixodes scapularis strain Wikel colony gcontig_1108379389556, whole genome shotgun sequence.
CCCUGGUUAGAUCAGUUUGUAGAGCGCUCCACUGGAAAUGGAGAGGUCCCGUGUUCGAUACCCGGACAAGGCG